rnacentral:rRNA from 1 species
GAUGAACGCUGGCGGUGUGCUUAACACAUGCAAGUCGAACGGAAAGGCCCAAGCUUGCUUGGGUACUCGAGUGGCGAACGGGUGAGUAACACGUGGGUGAUCUGCCCUGCACUUCGGGAUAAGCCUGGGAAACUGGGUCUAAUACCGGAUAGGACCACUUCUUGGAUGUUGUGGUGGAAAGUUUUUUCGGUGUGGGAUGAGCUCGCGGCCUAUCAGCUUGUUGGUGGGGUAAUGGCCUACCAAGGCGUCGACGGGUAGCCGGCCUGAGAGGGUGUACGGCCACAUUGGGACUGAGAUACGGCCCAGACUCCUACGGGAGGCAGCAGUGGGGAAUAUUGCACAAUGGGCGCAAGCCUGAUGCAGCGACGCCGCGUGGGGGAUGACGGCCUUCGGGUUGUAAACUCCUUUCGCUAGGGACGAAGCGUUUUGUGACGGUACCUGGAGAAGAAGCACCGGCUAACUACGUG